CAAUCAAAUCUAGAAUAUUUUCAUUACUCCCAAAAAGAAAUCCCACACUCCUUAGUCAUCAUCCUCUAAUUUCCCUAUUAUAGGUGGGAAUUGAACAAUGAGAACACAUGGACACAGGAAGGGGAACAUCACACACUGGGGACUGUUGUGGGUGGGGGGAGGGGGGAGGGAUAGCAUUAGGAAUCUCUUUGAGGUGCCUGAGCCGUAAAUACAUCAUAAACCCAGUCUGUGUUUACCAAUGAUUAAAAAAAGGAUAUUGGUUGGUUUGAAGGUUUAUAAGAUGCAUAUAUCCAUGGAUAGAGGACAAUUCUUUUUGAUUCUUGAUUGCAUAAUUUAUUGUAGAACAUCUGGUAUCCCUGGCCUCCAUCCAUUAAAUGCUUCUCCACCUGAUUACUAUGAAAAUCCAGAAAAAAAAUCCACAAAUUUUCAAAAUAGCAACCAGGAUAAAGUAGUAGCUUCUUUGAGACUAGGACAGCCAUGGUUUGGACACCUUUCAUUAAUUAGCUGCAGAAAGCUGCUAAAGCCAAGUGACAACUUAAACAAUAUGAACUUUCUGAAUCAUUAAAAAUCAACUGCAGCCAAAACACCAUGGGAGCCCUAGUCCCUAACUGAUCCUAGAAGGCCCUUUGUUGAGGAAACUGACCCAGAUGCUAUAGCUGAGAUUCAAGAUAGCUGGAACGGGGCCUCGCAAAUAAAAGACUCAUGCUUGACAUGAGCAAACGAGGGUUUCGUGUCCAUUCAUGCAACUUUAGAAUCUAGGCUACCUUGAAAGUCACCUAUCUGCCUGGUUAGGUGUUUGAGUGUUUGUGUUAGAGGUAAAAACAGGUGAUAGCCCAGCUUCCUUGGGUUUAAUUUGGUGAUCUUGUUUCACACUCAACCCAACCACAGGAAGUGGUUUAUUACCAACAAGAAUGUAAAGUUUUCAUGAUUUAAUAAUUUCAUUAUCACCAAAUGCUACUUUUGUCAGUGAAAGCACCAAUAGGAGGUCCAAUAAAUAGUUAGUGCCUGAAGGAAUUGUGGAG
rnacentral:lncRNA from 1 species